rnacentral:ncRNA from 2 species
AUGAUUCCGGUGGGAGAGCCCGUAACAAGAAGCAAGAGGAAUAGAAGCAAGAAGCAGGAUUGGACGAAGGAAUUGGCAAAGCCAAUUCCCGCAUGAAAUCUUGCUCGUGCCUCCUGCAUCUUGCCUCUUGAACGGCACCGAAGAAGUAACCCGUUGGCGUGGUAGCCGCGGGGAAACUUUCAGGUUUCAGAACCGCCGGAAGACG